UACAGAGGUGGCAAGCGUUGUUCGGAAUUACUGGGCGUAAAGGGUCUGUAGGUGGCCAACUAAGUCAGACGUGAAAUCCCUCAGCUUAACUGGGGAACUGCGUCCGAUACUGAUUGGCUUGAAUCCGGAAGAGGGAUGCGGAAUUCCAGGUGUAGCGGUGAAAUGCGUAGAUAUCUGGAGGAACACCGGUGGCGAAGGCGGCAUCCUGGACCAAUAUUGACGCUGAGGAGCGAAAGCCAGGGGAGCAAACGGG
rnacentral:rRNA from 1 species